UGAGGAAUAUUGGUCAAUGGGCGAGAGCCUGAACCAGCCAAGUAGCGUGCAGGAAGACGGCCCUAUGGGUUGUAAACUGCUUUUAUGUGGGGAUAAAGUGAGCUACGUGUAGUUUAUUGCAGGUACCACAUGAAUAAGGACCGGCCUUUCUCCGUGCCAGCAGCCGCGGAAUANGGGAAGGUCCAGGCGUUAUCCGGAUUUAUUGGGUUUAAAGGGAGCGUAGGCCGUGGAUUAAGCGUGUUGUGAAAUGUAGACGCUCAACGUCUGAAUUGCAGCGCGAACUGGUUCACUUGAGUAUGCACAACGUAGGCGGAAUUCGUCGUGUAGCGGUGAAAUGCUUAGAUAUGACGAAGAACUCCGAUUGCGAAGGCAGCUUACGGGAGCACAACUGACGCUGAAGCUCGAAGGUGCGGGUAUCAAACAGGAUUAGAUACCCUGGUAGUCCGCACAGUAAACGAUGGAUGCCCGUUGUUAGUUCACUUUAGAAUUAGCGACCAAGCGAAAGCAUUAAGCAUCCCACCUGGGGAGUACGCCGGCAACGGUG
rnacentral:rRNA from 1 species